GAUGAACGCUGGCGGCGUGCCUAAUACAUGCAAGUCGAGCGAACAGACGUGGAGCUUGCUCCUCUGACGUUAGCGGCGGACGGGUGAGUAACACGUGGAUAACCUACCUAUAAGACUGGGAUAACUUCGGGAAACCGGAGCUAAUACCGGAUAACAUGUUGAACCGCAUGGUUCAACAGUGAAAGACGGUCUUGCUGUCACUUAUAGAUGGAUCCGCGCCGCAUUAGCUAGUUGGUAAGGUAACGGCUUACCAAGGCAACGAUGCGUAGCCGACCUGAGAGGGUGAUCGGCCACACUGGAACUGAGACACGGUCCAGACUCCUACGGGAGGCAGCAGUAGGGAAUCUUCCGCAAUGGGCGAAAGCCUGACGGAGCAACGCCGCGUGAGUGAAGAAGGUCUUCGGAUCGUAAAACUCUGUUAUUAGGGAAGAACAAAUGUGUAAGUAACUAUGCACGUCUUGACGGUACCUAAUCAGAAAGCCACGGCUAACUACGUG
rnacentral:rRNA from 1 species